GCGCUCGUAGCUCAAUUGGAUAGAGUGUCAGAUUCCGAUUCUGAAGGUUGCGGGUUCAAUCCCUGUCGAGCGCGCCA
rnacentral:tRNA from 3 species